UUCGUAGGUGGCUUUCUAAGUCAGACGUGAAAUCCCUCAGCUUAACUGGGGAACUGCGUCUGAGACUGGCGAGCUUGAGUGCAGGAGAGGAACGCGGAAUUCCAGGUGUAGCGGUGAAAUGCGUAGAUAUCUGGAGGAACACCGGUGGCGAAGGCGGCGUUCUGGACUGUUACUGACACUGAGGAACGAAAGCCAGGGAGGCAAACG
rnacentral:rRNA from 1 species